rnacentral:rRNA from 1 species
GGAAGUUGUUAAGGCGCGCGGCGGAUGCCUUGGAGCCGGAUGGCGAAGAAGGACGCGACAACCUGCGAUAAGCCUGGGGGAGCUGGACGUGAGCUUGGAUCCCGGGAUUUCCGAAUGGGGCAACCCAGCAUGCUACAUGCAUGCUACCGCACCGAUGAAUUCAUAGUCGGGCGGGGGCAACCCAGGGAACUGAAACAUCAAAGUACCUGGAGGAAUAGAAAGAGAGAUCGAUUCCGUUAGUAGUGGCGAGCGAAAGCGGAGAAGCCCAAACCUGCGCAAGCAGGGGUUUUGGACGGACAUACGGACGCUAUAGGCGAGGGGAAGCACGUCGAAACGUGCGCCAUAGGGGGUGAGAGCCCCGUACCCGAAGCCUUGGGCGCCCCGUCCGUAUCCAGAGUAAGACGGGACACGUGAGAUCCUGUCCGAAGACGCGGGGACCGCCCCGCAAGGCUAAAUACGGUCCGGCUACCGAUAGCGAACAAGUACCGUGAGGGAAAGGUGAAAAGCACCCCGUGAGGGGAGUGAAAGAGAUCCUGAAACCGCGUGCCGACGAGAAGGCAGAGGGCGUUAAAGCCUGAUGCCGUGCCUAUUGAAGAAUGAGCCUGCGAGUCAGUGCACCCGCGCGAGGCUAAGCCGAAGAGGCGGAGCCGAAGCGAAAGCGAGCCCGAACAGGGCGAACAAGUGCGAGUGUCUGCACCCGAAACCCGGCGAUCUAGCCAUGACCAGGAUGAAGCAGGGGCGAAACCCUGUGGAGGUCCGAACCGACGUUCGUUGAAACGCCCGCGGAUGAGUUGUGGCUCGUAGUGAAAUUCCAAUCGAGCCGGGUAAUAGCUGGUUCUCCCCGAAACAUCUUUAGGGAUGGCCUCAUGCAUUUGCGGCGGAGGUAGAGCACUGGAUGGCAGGGGCCCGAGCGAUCGGGUUCCCUGCCGACCAAACUCCGAAUGCCGCCGUUAUCGAGCGUGGGAGCCAGUCGGUGGGAGACAAGUUUCACCGACGAGAGGGCAACAGCCCAGACCGCCGAAUAAGGCCCCUGAAUGUACGCUGAGUGUGUAAGGAUGUAGGAACGCUAAGACAGCCAGGAUGUUGGCUCAGAGGCAGCCACCAUUCAAAGAAUGCGUAACAGCUCACUGGUCAAGCGUCCCCGCGCCGAAAAUUUACCGGGGCUAAGCGUACUGCCGAAUUCGCGGAUUUCAUACAGUGAUGUAUCAAGUGGUAGGGGAGCGUCGCCUGCGGGGCGAAGCCGGACCGUGAGGACCGGUGGACCGCUGGCGAGCGAGAAUGCAGGUGUGAGUAGCGAUGACGGGAGGGUAUCCCGUCCGCCGAAUGACUAAGGUCUCCAGGGCAAGGUUCGUCCUCCCUGGGUCAGCCGGGGGCUAAGGCGAGGCCGAGAGGCGCAGCCGAUGCACAGCGGGUCAAGAUUCCCGCGCCCGGGGGAUGAAGCGUAGCAGUGACGGAUCGCCGUUUGCGUCCCAGCUGUCGGACAUGCUGGGCCGGACCGGACGCCUGCGCGGGCAGCACCCGCGCACAGGGCGCCCCUUCCGGGGAGGAAAGCCGAGAGGCGAGUACCAAGCGCGUUUAGGCGGUCCCGGGAAAAGCUGCGAGGCGUUGUAUCAUCCCUCGGCCCGUACCGAGAACGGACACACGUGGUCUGGUGGAGUACACCAAGGCGAGCGAGCGAACUGUUGUUAAGGAACUCUGCAAAAUUGCUUCGCAAGUUAGCGAUAAGAGGCACUCAUCUAUGAUGAGUCGCAGUGAAGAGGCCCAGGUAACUGUUUACCAAAAACACAGCUCUAUGCGAAGGCGCAAGCCGAUGUAUAUGGGGUGAAGCCUGCCCGGUGCCGGAAGGUCAAGGGGAGGGGUCAGCCGCAAGGCGAAGCCCCGAGCCGAAGCCCCGGUGAACGGCGGCCGUAACUAUAACGGUCCUAAGGUAGCGAAAUUCCUUGUCAGGCAAGUUCUGACGCGCAUGAAUGGUAUAAUAAUCUGGGCGCUGUCUCGACAGCAGACUCGGCGAAAUCUUAAGUCCUGUGAAGAUGCAGGAUGCCCGCGACUAGACGGAAAGACCCCAUGGAGCUUCACUGCAGUUUGGCAUUGGGCGGCCGCGCGCCGCGCACAGGAUAGGUGGGAGUCUAUGAAACGGGGGUCGCGGCCCCCGCGGAGACGCCGUUCGGAUACCACCCCCGGAGUGCGUCCGUCCUAACCGGAGACCUCAAUGGUCCCCGGGACAGUGCCUGACGGGCAGUUUGACUGGGGCGGUCGCCUCCCAAAGAGUAACGGAGGCGCUCGAAGGUACCCUUGGGCCGGUUGGAAACCGGUCUGUACGCGCAAACGCAAAAGGGUGCCCGACUGCGAGAGGUACAUCUCGAGCAGGCUCGAAAGAGGGAGUUAGUGACCCGGCGUCUCGGUGCGGAUCGGACGUCGCUUAACGGAUAAAAGCUACCCUGGGGAUAACAGGCUGAUCGAUUCCAAGAGUUCACUUCGACGAGUCGGUUUGGCACCUCGAUGUCGGCUCAUCGCAUCCUGGAGGGGCAGUCCCUUCCAAGGGUUUGGCUGUUCGCCAAUCAAAGCGGUACGCGAGCUGGGUUCAAAACGUCGUGAGACAGUUUGGUCCCUAUCUGUCGUGGGCGCAGGA